UUUUGUUGUGCACUAUCUGUUAAGUAUUGUGUGAGAUGUUAGAUUUAUUUAUAUAAAUUAUAAAUUAUGUCAUCACAAUAAUGAUACUUAGUUGCCUCUUGCAGUCUUUGUAGCCCCUCAUGGAACUUGAGAUUAUGUAUAUUUGUUGUAGACAUGAUUGUAAGUGGCUGAGGUUUUGUUUGGGAUGGCUUUCUUACUGCUUCUUAAAAUAAGUUUGAAGUACUGAAAUUAAAUUUUUUGUACUAAAAAUUGUUUUAAAAAGCAGUGCAAGGUUGAAUCUAAGAUUCUUGAGAUUAUAGUCAGGUUUCAUUUGGGACGGUUUUUUUACAUGUCCAAAGCUAUUUUUUGUUUGAAAUGGAAUGAGAAGCAGAAGACUUAAAGAGGUAUUUUUGUAUUAAGUAAGUGUUUUGGGGUCUUCUCAGAAUGAAAUUGGGAGAUUUGAUUGUCAUAAUGUAAAGUAUCUCGUCAAUCUAUGCUAUAUACAGAUUCUAUAAGCCACAGUUUCUCUUUAUUCUUUCUGCAUUACUGAAUUUAGUUUCAUCGCGUUUAUUAUAUUUAUUCUCAGAUGUUUAAUGCUUUAGUCUUACAGGCUUUUAGUCUGACGUCCGGAUGAUUAUCUCUGUAGUUAAGCUUGCCAAUUAGACUGUCUUUAAUGGGAGAAAUUAUUACGUGUGAUGCGGUCACCGGACCGUCUGAAGUUGAAUUGAGAUGCGCUACAUCGCCUGAUAAGCAGUAUUGGUACGCAGCAAAAUAGUGACAUGACGUGUCCUGAUUCGCCUUCGAAUGGCGCUCGCACGUCCUUUAAUGGUGGAAUUAUACCUCUGUACUUUCCUAUAUUGUGCAAGUAUAACCUUGCUAUGUAUUCAUCUACAUGAGCCAGUGCAGUCUAAUGUACUUCACGUAUUUUUUCUGCAUUUUAUUUUCUUUGAAGCCUCUCUAA